UACGAAGGGUGCAAGCGUUGUUCGGAAUUAUUGGGCGUAAAGGGUUCGUAGGCGGGAGUUUAAGUCAAAUGUGAAAUACCUGAGCUUAACUUGGGACGUGCAUUUGAGACUGGAUUUCUUGAGUAUCGGAGAGGGUGGUGGAAUUGCUGGUGUAGGAGUGACAUCCGUAGAGAUCAGCAGGAACAUCGGAGGCGAAAGCGACCGCCUGGCCGAGUACUGACGCUGAGGAACGAAAGCGUGGGGAGCAAACAGG
rnacentral:rRNA from 1 species